rnacentral:rRNA from 1 species
UACGGAGGGUGCAAGCGUUGUCCGGAUUUAUUGGGUUUAAAGGGUGCGUAGGGGGGGGCUCAAGGCUGAGUUGAAAGUUAGCAGCUCAACAGUUAGACGUGGCUGGAAACUGGGGUUCUGGAAUGGAUUGGCGGCCGCCGGAACGGGUCAUGUAGCGGUGAAAUGCAUAGAUAUGACCCAGAACACCGAUUGCGAAGGCAGGCAGCUACGACCUGAUUGACACUGAGGCACGAGAGCAUGGGUAGCGAACAGG